AAUGUAUUACUUUUAUUUAUUUUUUGAGUAGGAGUCUCACUCUGUCACCCAGGCUAGAGGGCAGUGGCACACU
rnacentral:snoRNA from 1 species